rnacentral:piRNA from 1 species
UCAGUAGAACUCAUGGGUUGAUUCUUUAU